ensembl:lncRNA
GGAUCCUGGACAGUUCUCGCGUGCCAUUCUCCACGUACAAAGCCAACGGCCCCAUUUGCAACUUUGCUAACUUAGUUGGCUUCCGCCCAGCCGAACCCCGAAGCAGUCACUGAAAACGUUCUGACACCAGAAAAUCAUUUCCACGACAGUGCAAGUGUUCGAAAGCACAAAGGCAGACACUGUCUACCCGCGACAGUUCGCAAGUUGCGGUGGCGGGGAGGCUGUGCGGAGCGCGCGUGCAGCGGCAGCUUGGUGAACCUUUGGGGGAAAAGGAAAAUUCAAAACCAAAUGAAGAACUUUUUCUGGUUGUUGCUGUCGAAACCUCCCUGAUGAUUUCCGCGGAAGUUCUCUGGAGCAGACAAUUUCACAAACAUCUGAAUCAAGCGGGCUCUGUCAGAGUUACCAGAGUGUGAAGAUUCUGCUGUUUAGUUCUGUGCAAGGAGAUUGGUAAGAAAAUUGUGAAGUAUCCCAGAUGCAGACAGCUGUCGCUCUGAGGAACCGACUAUAUUGAACUUCCUUGGGAUGCCCGCCUCUAAUUGCUGCAGCUGUAACCACUGCUUGUAGCCAGGGUGGGCUGAAAAGCACCACAGUCUGCUGUGGAAAAAAGCCUCAUGUCCAUAGGUUUUAGAGUGGAAUCUACAUCAUCAUAACUGAAUUUUAGCACAUAAUUCAAUCUGCUUGGAUGGAUGCCCCCUUUGCCUAAAAUACAGGACGGAUCACACUAAGAGAAAUCAUCCAAGAUGUUCAUGUUUUGUGCAUGAAAGUACAUCUGUAUAUAUUUUCCACUUUGCCCUUUUCAGUUUUCUUUGAGCACUGGAGUUUGUUUAUUUAUUUUAUAUUUUGGCAGCUAGGGACCGAGAUAUUUCUUUUCUGUUUGUUUUCUCCAACUCUUUUUACAGUUUAACAAGUCAAAUACAAAACUCAGGGGAGUUAAUAAGCCUCGUGAUGGUAUUGUGCAUAGCAUCACAUUAUUGAUUGGAUAUACUGCAUUGGAAUGCUGUAGAAGAGCCCUAAACCAAAAAAUUUCAGAUGCCUGAAGCUUUGAGCUUUCCAAUUAGGCUGAAAGGUUCCCCUGAUAACCAGUAGUGCUGAAGCUUUUAAUAUUGUUUAGCUCUAUCAGUUAUCAGCAACGUUUUCUAGUUACGGAGGCCAGAGGAUCACUUGAUGUCAGCAAGGUAGCUCCUCUAAUCUACUUGCCCCCCUUUCUAAUCAAAUAUUCUAUCUGGAAGAAAAGGAAUUUUCAGUUUAACGUAAGCUGAUCAUAAUUGGGAGCAAACGCUUCUUUCCCUUCUAUGCUAUCUCCUCCUGUGCAGCCUAUUUUGCAUCCAAAGAUACAUUUGAAAGUCGAAAUCCCUUAGAGCUAAAUAUUCUAAACUGACAGAAGAAUUUCUAGUGGCACACCAGCCUGGAGCCAUGUUUUUAUGAGGACAUCACUUUCUAUUUCUAAGCUUCACCAUGCACUCUUGCUUUCUUAGUGCUGGGAGCCAUGCCACAUCAACUUGCCUCCCUCUCAGCCUUUAAUGUUUUUUUAAUGGAGUCCAGUUUUCCGCCUAAGUUAUGGCUAGCUUUCUGACAAACCAUCAGACACCUAAGUGACCAUAAUGGAAGUGUCCAGAUGUGUCAUGGGAAAAGGCUAUGGCUAACUUUCAUGCCUUUAAACAAAACCAUAUUAUAACCAUUCAUUUUUACCUGGCCUCUGGGUUUGCCAUAGAGGCUAAAAUGAGGCUUAAGAAAACAUUUUAAAAAUUAAUAUAUGAUAUGAAGUCUUUUCUUGUAAGCCACAAGCAAAAGCAAUCAUUUCUAAAUCUGGCUGGCAUGGUGAGUAUGCUGCCUGUACAGUGAAAUAGCAGGAGUGCUGCAUGUUUUUCUGAAGCAAAGAACUGCUCAGGUAGCAAUGAAGUUAGUUAUCUAAUGAAAUAAAGCAAAUGCACUUUACAGAUUCCCAGCU